GAUGAACGCUGGCGGCGUGCCUAAUACAUGCAAGUCGAGCGAACGGACGAGAAGCUUGCUUCUCUGAUGUUAGCGGCGGACGGGUGAGUAACACGUGGAUAACCUACCUAUAAGACUGGGAUAACUUCGGGAAACCGUAGCUAAUACCGGAUAAUAUUUUGAACCGCAUGGUUCAAAAGUGAAAGACGGUCUUGCUGUCACUUAUAGAUGGAUCCGCGCUGCAUUAGCUAGUUGGUAAGGUAACGGCUUACCAAGGCAACGAUGCAUAGCCGACCUGAGAGGGUGAUCGGCCACACGGGAGCUGAGACACGGUCCAGACUCCUACGGGAGGCAGCAGUAGGGAAUCUUCCGCAAUGGGCGAAAGCCUGACGGAGCAACGCCGCGUGAGUGAUGAAGGUCUUCGGAUCGUAAAACUCUGUUAUUAGGGAAGAACAUAUGUGUAAGUAACUGUGCACAUCUUGACGGUACCUAAUCAGAAAGCCACGGCUAACUACGUG
rnacentral:rRNA from 1 species